GACGAACGCUGGCGGCGUGCCUAAAACAUGCAAGUCGUGCGGCAGCAUGCCCUUCGGGGUGAUGGCGAGCGGCGGACGGCUGAGUAACGCGUGGGAACGUGCCCCAAAGUGAGGAAUAACUGCCCGAAAGGGUGGCUAAUGCCGCAUAUGGUCUUCGGAUUAAAGCUUCGGCGCUUUGGGAGUGGCCCGCGUAAGAUUAGAUAGUUGGUGAGGUAAUGGCUCACCAAGUCGAUGAUCUUUAACUGGUUUGAGAGGAUGAUCAGUCAGACUGGAGCUGAGAAACGGUCCAGACUCCUACGGGAGGCAGCAGUUAGGAAUAUUCCACAAUGGGCGAAAGCCUGAUGGAGCAACGCCGCGUGGAGGAUGAAGGCCCUAGGGUUGUAAAGCACUUUCGUUGGGGAUGAUAAUGACCGUACCCAAAGAAGAAGCACCGGCUAACUUCGUGCCAGCAGCCGCCGUAA
rnacentral:rRNA from 1 species